rnacentral:rRNA from 1 species
GAUGAACGCUGGCGGCGUGCCUAAUACAUGCAAGUCGAGCGAAUGGAUUAAGAGCUUGCUCUUAUGAAGUUAGCGGCGGACGGGUGAGUAACACGUGGGUAACCUGCCCAUAAGACUGGGAUAACUCCGGGAAACCGGGGCUAAUACCGGAUAACAUUUUGAACCGCAUGGUUCGAAAUUGAAAGGCGGCUUCGGCUGUCACUUAUGGAUGGACCCGCGUCGCAUUAGCUAGUUGGUGAGGUAACGGCUCACCAAGGCAACGAUGCGUAGCCGCACUGAGAGGGUGAUCGGCCACACUGGGACUGAGACACGGCCCAGACUCCUACGGGAGGCAGCAGUAGGGAAUCUUCCGCAAUGGACGAAAGUCUGACGGAGUAACGCCGCGUGAGUGAUGAAGGCUUUCGGGUCGUAAAACUCUGUUGUUAGGGAAGAACAAGUGCUAGUUGAAUAAGCUGGCACCUUGACGGUACCUAACCAGAAAGCCACGGCUAACUACGUGCCAGCCGCCGCCGUAA